GCCCCCAAUCCUGAGAACCCAUGGAGAGUAACGCACGGUGCUAACAGCCAUUGUUUCUUCAUUGCAGGCCCUAGGUUCCAUAUCCCGUAGUACCAGCUCCAUUUUACACAUGAAGAAAUGGAAGUUCAGAGAGACAAAGUGACUUGCUCAAUGUCACACAGCUGCAGGUGCUGUGGCCCCACACUGGCUGGACACUGCAGAGGUCACCAAAAUGAACAACACAUGGUCCCUGCCCUUGGAGUGUUCUCAGCUCAUUCUGGGAGGUGAGCAGAUUGGCAUUUCGGUGGGAAUUAUAAGCCAAGGCAAGGCAUACAGCUCUAUGG
rnacentral:lncRNA from 1 species